UUUGGCACAAAAAUAAUCGUCUUUUGUUACUUUUUAUACUAUUUAUAGUUCAUUGGUUUAUUAUGGAAAUACAUUUUGGUUCAUUUUAUGACAAGUGCCAAAUCCUGCUGUCUGGAUUUUUUUUUCAGUGAGGUUGUCCUUGUGUCCUUUGAAAUAAAAUUUUACUGUGCAUCAUACCCUUUCAGAGACAGUUUACACAUUGAUAUUAAAUUUUAAUCUCACUGAGAAUAUCCUCCUAAAAAAAUGGAUUUUUGGUUAGAUACUGCCAUUGAACAUUACUGAAAAUACCUCUUUGAUUUUAAAUGGGAUGCUAACCUGUGGUAAAGGAAUCCAAGUAAGUCAAAAUAUCAAAUUUAAUACUGCAUCCUGAGCUUCGAGUGACAUCUGAUAAACCAAUAUUGUUAUUGCUGCCACUAUUUAUGGUUCACUUUCAGAACUUGUUAUUUUGAUUCUUAAUAUCACUGCCCCUCACAAUGGGCCUGUAUGUUACACUAUUUGUAAUUACUUUAAAGAGAUAUUUUGGGAAUUCCUUUUAAGAUAGUAUGCUACCUCACUACAUUGUAAUGCCAAAGUCAUCUGAUGUUUAAAAAUCUGAGCUUCCGUCUGUUUAUAGAGUCAUAUAGGUCGACAGCAUGGAAACAGGUCCUUCUGCCCAACUUGCCCAUGUCACCCAGUUGUCACAAUUUAAACUAGUCCCAUCUGCCUGCAUUCGGUCCAUAUCCCUCCAUAUCAAUCCCAUCCAUGCACCUGUCUAAGUGUUUCUUAAAUGACAAAAUUGUGCUCAUUUCAACCACUACCUCUGCCUGUUCCAAACAUUCACUACCCUCUGCGUGAAAAGUUGCCCCUCUGGACCCUUUUGUAUCUCUUCCCUUUCAUCUCUAGUUUUAGACUCCCCACUGAGGAGGGAAAAAAAACCUGCUGUCUACCUUAUCUACGCCUGCCAUGAAUUUAUAGACAUAUGUAAAGUCACCCCUCCAGCUUCUGCGCUCCAGAGAAAAAAAGUCCCAGCUGAUACAACCUCUCCUUUAUAACUCAAACCUUCCUCUCUAGGUAGCAUCUUAGUAAAACUUUUCUGCACUCUUUCUAGUUUAAUAAUAUCCUUUCCAUAUUAGUACAACUUGCGCUGCACACAGUACUCCAAAUGCAGCCCCACCAAUGUCUUAUACAGCUGCAACAAGUCCCAACUCCUGCACUCAGUGCUCUGACCAAUGAAAGCAAGCACGCUCAAAGCUUUCUUCACCACUCCUUCUAGCAUUUUCAAGGAACUGUGAACCUGUAUCCCUAGAUCUCUUGUUCCAAAACACUCCCUAGCGCCCUACCAUUGACUGACUAUGUAAGUCCUCACUGGUUUCCGUUACCAAAAUGCAACACCUUGCAUUUAUCUGAAUCAAAUUCCAUCUGCCAUUUUUUUUCCCUAUUCAUUUUGUGGGAUAUAGGUGUCGCUGGCUGGCCAGCAUUUCUUGCCCAUCCCUAAUUGCUCUUGAGAAGGUGGCGGUGAGCUGCUGUCUUGAACCGCUGCAUUUCUACUGCUGUGGAUUGAUCCACAAUGCUAUUUGCGAGGGGGUUUCAGAAUUUUGACCCAGCAGCAGUGAAGGAACAGCGAUAUAUUUUCAAGUCAGGAUGGAGAGUGACUUGGAAAGGAACUCGGAGGUGGUGGUGUCCUAUAUAUCUGCUGCCCUUGUCCUUCUAGAUGGAAAUGGUUGUGGGUUUGGAAGGUGCUAUCUGAGGAUCUUUGGUGAAUUUCUGCAGUGCAUCUUGUAGAUAGAACACAAUGCUGCUACUGAACGUUGGUGGUGGAGGGAGUGAAUGGUUGUGGGUGUAGUGCUAAUCAAGCAGGCUGUUUUGUCCCGGGUGGUGUCAAGCUUCUUGAGUGUUGUUGGGACUGCACUCAUCCAGGCAGGUGGGGAGUACUCUAUCGCACUCCUGACUUGUGCCUUGCAGAUGAUGUACAGGCUUUGAUGAGUCAGGAGGUGAGUUACUCGCCACAGUUUUUCCAGCUUCUGGCUGCUCUUAUAGCCACUGUAUUAAUGCGGUGAGUCCAGUUGAGUUGCUGGUCAAUGAUAACCCACAGGAUGUUGAUAGUGAGGGAUUCAGUGAUGGUAACACCAUUGAAUGUCAAGGGGGAGUGGUUAGAUUGUCUCUUAUUGGUGAUGAUCAUAGCCUGGGAUUUGUGUGGUGCGAAUGUCACUUGCCACUUAUCAGCCCAAACCUAAAUAUUGUCCAGAUCUUGUUGCAUGUGAACGUGGACUGCUUCAGCAUCUGAGGAGUCACGAAUGGUGCUGAACGUUGUGCAAUCAUCGGUGAACAUCCCCACCUCUGACCUUAUGAUGGAGGGGAGGUCGUUGAUGAAGCAGCUGAAGAUGGUUGAGCCUAGGAUACUACCCCGAGGAACUCCUGCAGAUUUGUCCUGUAGCUGAGAUGAUUGACCUCCCAUAACCACAACCAUCUUCCUAUGUGUCAGGUAUGAGUCCAACCGCUGGAACGUUUGCCACCUGAUACCCAUUGAUUCCAGUUUUGCUAGGGCUCCUUGAUGGCACACUUGGUCAGAUGCAGCCUUGAUAUCAAGGGCUGUCACUCUCACCUCACCUCUGGAAUUUAAGUCUUUUGUCCAUGUUUGAACCAAGACUGUAAUGAGGUCAGGAGUUGAGUGGCCUUGGCGGAACCCAAACUAGGCAUCACUGAGCAGUUUAUUUCUGAGCAGGUGUUAAUGACACCUUCCAUCACUUUGCUGAUGAUCGAGAGGUGACUGAUGGGGUGGUAACUGGCGGAUUGGAUUUGUCCUGCUUUUUAUGUACAGGACAUACUUGGGCAAUUUUCCACAUUGUCAGGUAGAUACCAGUGUUAUAGCUGUACUGGAAGAGCUUGGCUAAGGGAGCGGCCUGUUCUGGAGCACAGGUCUUCAGUACUAUUGCCAGAGUGUGGUCAGGGCCAGUAGCCUUGCAGUAUCGAGUGUCUCCAACCAUUUCUUGAUAUCACAUGGAGUGAAUCGAAUUGACUGAAGACUGGUACCUGUAAUGAUGGGGACCACUGGAGGAGGCCGAGAUAGAUCAUCCACUCGGCAUCUUUCGGCUGAAGAUUGCCGGGGAUGCUUCAGCCUUAUCUUUUGCACUGAUGUGCUGGGCUCUUCCGUCAUUGAGGAUAGGGAUAUUUGUGGAGCCUCCACCUCCAGUGAGUUGUUUAAUUGUCCACCACCAUUCACCACUGGAUGUGGUAGGACUGCAGAGCUUAGAUCUGAUCUGUUGUUUAUGGGAUCUCUUAGCUCUGUCUGUCACUUGCUGCUUUCACUUUUUGGUGUGCAAGUAGUCCUGUUUGGUGGCUUCAUCAGGUUGAUGCCUCAUCUUCAGGUAUGCCUGGUGCUGAUCCUGGCAUGCCCUCCUGCACUCUUCAUUUCUCAGCCUCCCGACCCAGUUGUUCAAGAACUUGCUGCAUUUCCAGAUAACCAUUUCACUGUCCACUAUACCAACAAUCUUUGUGUAAUCCACAGAUUUACUAACCACACCUGCUAAAUUCUCAUCCAAAUUAUUUGUAUCAAUGACUUGAAUAACAGUGGACCCAACAACCGAUCUCUGUGGCCCACCACUGGUCACUGAUUAAAAUAUCUUAAAUGUGAAUAAUAUUCCUUUAAAACACUAUAUAAGUUACUUUUGAGCUUUGUUUAAUAGUCUAGUACUGGCUUGUAGUUUUUAAAAUUCUGGACUGUUUUAAUGAUAAAUCAGAAGUGAUUAGAAAACAUGAUGCAGUGAAUAUUUUUACAGCGGGCUGUGAAAAUUUGGAGUUUACUGGAAGAGUUGAUGCACUAGAGCCUCUCUUCAUUGUUGUUUUAGCAGGUAUUUUGUUGCUUUUGGAGUGGACCAACAUGAAAGUGCAGAAAACAUUCUGGUGAAGUUAUUCCUAACUGUCAGUUUUAAGAGUUCAAUUUGCUGUCCAUAACACUCUUCGAUCUGUUAAGGAGACAAACAUAUUGUAGGUUCUGUCCUUAGUUUUUUGAUAAUUUCACAUGGAUUAAAUGUCAUGGGUGAUUAUGUGGGCUCAGUGUUCCCCUUUCCACAAACAUGAGCAAUAAGGAAGUAAAUCAUUUAAGGUGCUUGUUUCUUAUUAUCAUUGCACCUACAUAUGGUGUGAACUGCACAUGACAAAACAGUUGCAUGCUGUGGUAGUAAACAUUGUAUAGGCUCAAAGUUAGAGUGACUGUCCACAUAAUGGGUGCUAUUAUCAGCAGAACUAUACCUCAGCAUGAAACAUUAUCUUAAAUGAAGUAUAGUAGAACCAUUUGGUUCCAGAACUAUGGUAAAGGCAAUAUUGGAAAUUGUCUUCCAAUUGAAAUACACAUACUGUACUUUUCUAGUUAUAGAGUGAUGUUUUAAAUAACAGGAAUUUAUAUUGUUGGCACAACGUUUUGAAUAAAAGCUUUGUCAAGCAGAUAAUUUUAUUUCCACUGAAGAGAAAGAAUGUGGAAAUAAAAUUUGUACGGUUCAGUGGCUGGCUUGAAUACCAACUAAAAUGUUGUGGGUUCAAAAUUUGUUUUGAAGCCUUUUCAGUGUGGUGAAUGCAUAUUUUGCCUGCUUUACAGUAAGCAUUGUGUAAAAAAAGAGCAUUUUUCUGGAAUCAUGGAAAUCAAAGCAAAAACACAAAAAGUCAAAGAAUUGCCCUCCCAACAUUGCAUCACUUAUUGACUUCAUACUCUAGACAUAUGAGAUAAGGGAAUAAAAAAUAUUUCCCCGAGUCAUUAUGUGAAGGAAAGAUGGAAGGUAAUAUAUAACAAUGUAGUCAUUAAACCCUCAUUUUUAACAGGCAAUUUUUCAUAUGAUUCUUUUAGACAAAGCCUGAAAUUAGAAAGAAAAUAUUGAAAUUUUGAUGUUAUGGGUUGGUUUCACUGCUGAAAUAUUGAUCUUGCAUGACACAAGUAUUUUAGACCUCUGAAAGGGAAAUUUUUUUUUGUUCUUUCUCUGAUUUGUUUUACAACUUUUGGAUAUCUAAAAUUUACUGUGUCCAGGUACUGUAAACUUUUAUAUUUUCACAAGAAUUCUACAAUGUAUCAGAGUAGUUAACAUUGAAAUGCAUGUCUUGGAGUAUAGUUUUUAACAGCAAUUUUUUUUAGCAUUGUUAAUAUGAAACAUAUUUCAAAGUAACGUUUUUAUCUAUUAUUGGCAACCUAUAGAAGCAGUUUCUCACACCCGUUAAUCUAUCUUGAUUUAACUGAAAUGUUCAGUCUUUCAAGAAAACUGUAUUCUAUCUAUAUGAAAACGUCCCAUUAGUAUGGCAAAGUAAAUAGUUUAAAUCAUUUGAUGCUAACAGUUACUAUCUGAUUUCUGUCUUAAAACAAUAAAAGACUUGUCUGUGGUCAAAUACAGUCACUAGGCUGAUGUUCUUUACCUCUCAAUGUUCUUCAGAGUUCACUAUUGCCCAGAAGGAGCUGUAAGCAUCUAACUUUUACAUUAGGGAAUAUGAUUUCAACAUUUCAUAGAAUUGUCACAUAUAAGUGCAAGGUUACUUUAAAAUUCUGCCGUUCAGAUGAGAAGUUUCCCAGUAUCAAAUGAAAGACAUAAUUUGCCCGCAACAGCAGGAAUAUAUUGCAGACUUGUAUGGAUUUUGAGAAAGUGAAGUUGACAGUGACAAGUAAUUCAAGAUGGUGGCCUUGGCAUAAAUGCUAAUGCCAGCAACCAUUUACUUCCUGUGCUAUCCAGUAAAUUUGUCCAGUAAGGUUCUCACCCUAUGCAGACAGUUACACUGACUGUACGAAUUAUUUCAAGAGUUUGUUACAUUUGCAACAAACACGUUCUGUUAAUGAGAUACAAAAGUAGCAGAGUUGUACCGGUCUUCUUUCGCUCUGCCAAGAAUAUUCACAAAUUUGCUGAAUUCUGAAAAUGUCUUUAUCAGUGUCGCUUACAUUGAGGGAUUGUCGCUCAACAACGUUUUUUCUCCUAUACUUCGACUUGCACCCAGGUGUUCUAACCCAAAGGUAGGUAUACUACCAAUGUGUCACGAACACUUAAAGCUUCCUAAACAAAGGAAUACUAGUUCCCCCAUGUCUCAACAGAUAUUUUAUCAUCACCCUACCCCAGGUUAUUGAGAGAGACAAGGAAGGAGAUUGCUGGGGUCUUAAUCAAGAUCUUUGUAUCUUCAUUAGCCACUGGAGAGGUCCUAGCAGACUGUCAGGGACGUAGUGAUAAUGGUGUUGUCAUCUACAAAAUGCACUUCAGCAACUGAUCAAGCAACUUCCAAACAUAUGAACUCAAUGAGCUCGAAGGACAAAUACAGUAGAGACAUUAUAAAGCCACUAGCAUCCUGCAAGUUGCCCUCCAAGCCACACCCCAUCCAGCUAUAAUUCCCAUGAAGACCGAUUACCUUAAAAGAAAGAAAUCACCCACAAUGGCUACAAAAGGAAAAUGGAUGGACAAGGCUUUUAAACCAGAUUAGUCAUACCUUUUAAUGGCUUUGGUAGAAGGCCAACGACAAGAUGUCUUCCAAGAUGUGGACCAGUGUGGCCGUCUGAUUUCCAUGUGGAAUUCUUCUUUGGCAUUAGCUUCCAGCCUGUCUGGGCAACCUGGGUUUCAUGGAGAAAGAUAUUCACCUGCCACCAGCUGGAGGCAGACCUCAUCAGGAAGUCUGGUUAUGUACCAUGUGUCGUUAUAUGCCUCCUCUGGCCACACUACAUCAGCAGUCUGCAAACUCAACUGAACUAGGCAACCAAGAAGUGAUGAUGCCAAACCUGGUGAAUAUUUCCAGCACGGUUUUUAUUUGAAUUCAGGAAGUUCUAAUGCUUGUGAUUAGAAAACCCAUCCACCUACAUUUAGUUAUAUAAUUCGGUGACUGAUUUGAUUAGGAUUUAGAGCAAUUGAAAAGGAGAAGGCAAUGCAAGUUCCAUCUUGUUAGCAAUUUGAUAACACACAAUCAGAUUCUUAAUGGGAAAAUUUUCAAAAUAAACUAAUCACAGCAGCUGCAAUAAUAAAAAAAUGCAUGCAAAGUAAAUGUUUCACUACCAGCUCAAGUCUCCGGAAUGAAAUUGCACGGAUUAAAAUUUUUGAAUGAUGCAUGUCUUUUAGCAGUUUUGUGUUUGCUACCUUCCAGAAUGACUUGACUUCAUGUUAUAUGAUACAUUCAAUUUCCUCUAGUUAUCCAAUACACAUAUAGUUAUUGGGUUAUAACAGUAUUAAAGAAGGUCUUAUUAUUUUGGUGGCAAAAUCUUUGACAGGAUAAAGAAAUGAAAGCAUAUUUCUACCAUAGCAUGUCAAUAAAGGGGAAAUUAUUUCUAAAAACUCUUCAGUUUUACUAUUUUGCAUUGCUGGCAUGGAAUUAACAUUCAAGGUGAAAACAACAUAGUUAUAAGAAGCUAAGACUCUGAAAAUUUAAAGAUGCAUAUUUACAGUGCACCAUGUAAAAUGAAAAGGUACAAAACCCAUUGCACAAAUAAAACAAAACAACAUGACCCCAUCUGUUACGCAAAGUAUCAUACAUAAUAUUUAUAUUCAUAGUACAUCACUAAUUCAUCAGACAAUGUAGAGGUUAAGUUGAAGUGCAACCAUGGACAUAAUUAGCUACCAGUUCAAACAUUUCAAAACUGCUUAAUAUCACAGAAUUCUUUAUUAACAUUUUUACAUA